rnacentral:rRNA from 1 species
UACGUAGAGGGCGAGCGUUGUCCGGAGUUACUGGGCGUAAAGCGCUUGUAGGCGGUCCACCAAGUUUGGGGUGACAGUUGCCGACUUAAUCGGCAAAGUGCCUCAAAGACUGGCGGACUUGAGGGCCACAGAGGGACAUGGAACUCCAGGUGUAGUGGUGAAAUGCGUAGAUAUCUGGAAGAACACCAAAGGCGAAGGCAGUGUCCUGGGUGGUCGCUGACGCUGAGAGGCGAAAGCCAGGGGAGCGAACGGG